UUACGGCCAUAUCACGUUGAAGCAUCGGAUCCGGUACGAUCACUGAAGUUAAGCAACGUCGAGCCUGGUCAGUAUCUAGUUGGGUGACCGCUUGCGUAUAUCAGCUGCUGUAAG